rfam:Microgenomates (Woesebacteria) bacterium GW2011_GWA1_39_12 TT23_C0004, whole genome shotgun sequence.
UCUGGUGAUGAUAGCGGUGCGGAACUACCUGAUCCCAUUCCGAACUCAGUCGUCAAACACACCUGCGGCGACGAUAGUAAGCGGGCAACUGUUUGCGAAAAUAGCACGUCGCCAGGC